CCCUCCAAGCUGGUCCAUAGCAAACCCUCCUCCAGGGUUGCUGCACUCACAUCAGUGCUUCAGCCAGUUUGAUGAACACACAUCAAACCUCUGGGAAAUGACAGAGUGUGUCUUGAGGAAAGCCAAGACUGAGCUGUGGGGGAGCUUUGCCAUGGGGAUCAGCCUUGCAGGGGCCACAGACAUCAUGGAAUCACAAACCGGUUUGGGUUGGAAAAGACCUUAUAUUUCAUCCAGUUCCAACCCCUGCCAUGGCAGGGACACCUUCCACUAGAGCAGCUUGCUCCAAGCCCUGUCCAACAUGGAAGGCUCUUUGCAAAGGUACUGCUCAGUAAAGGCACUGUGGUGAUGCCCUGCAGCAUAAGCUUGGGUGGCUUUAGAUCUCUCCAAAACUCUAGAGAGAGAAAUUCUGGCUCUGGGAAUUGAUUUCUCACUUAAUCAUGUCAAAGGCUGUUCAAAAUAGCUGCUGUCAGCAUCCAAGAGUUAAUGUGUGCUGGCACACCAGCAAUGGGACAGGUGCUGAGAAGGGGCUGCCUGCCUGUCCCGCCCUCCUCUUCCCCUGAAGGAUCUGUAGCACCUCACAGUGUUUCACCCCCUGCUCUCCAUCCCAAGCACCCAAGGCCAGCCUGGCAAGGAGCUGCCCUCACCCAGCCUCCAGCCUCAUGCUUCCAAAGCCAUCCUGCCCCAGCGUGCCUCCAUCCCAGUCCACGCAAACAGGCAGCACUGCACAGCAGGCUUUGCUGUGCUCCUCCUUUAUACCCAGAAACUGCCUUUUUAUCCCCAGCAGUGACUUUAGGAAGGUUUUUUGCAGUGACAUUGUCCCCAUGAAAGUUGGUCUCAACCCAACAGCAGGUGCCUGGGCAGUGCCUGUGGCCAAGAGAGGGAUAAUGUCACCAAUGUCCCUGUGCCAGCUGCUGAGUACUGGGUAUCCGCCCCUGUUCACCUGACAGUGAUAUAUAACACAAUGCACCUACCCUCAAGAGCUCUCUGCAGCUAUAGCAGCCCUUCAUUUCCUAGGUUUAAAAAUAGUUGCAGGCAUUAUAAACAACCUUGCAUGGAACAUGACUUAAAACUUGUUUUUCAUCCUAUCCGUGCUCCUCGUGGGAAUGAAUGCUCUUAUCUCCUGUCUGUGCUUGGUUCUGUGCUUGGUUUAGCGCUCUGUUCAGGAGAGGAACACAAACAAUGUGGCACAUCCAGCACCCAGCCUCAUGUAAAGGAAAUGAUCUAUUUAUUUAAUGCUUCUCCAAUGCUCGGAGUUCUUCAGGGGCCCCAGGAUGAAGCAGCAGCUCAGCAGCCUCCAGAGAAUCACUUGGAGCCUCUUACCUACCAGGCAGUCACUUUCAAGAAAAAUCUGCAUACAGAGGACAGACUUUGGCUCUUUUCUCAAGAGCUCCUUCCAAAUCUGAGGUCUGUCUGGCAGCCCCCACGUUAAUAAACACUCGCACGUUAACACUUGUGAAGUUUUUAUCUCCUGCUAAAAAGGUAUGAAUUAUGCAGCAGGGAAGUACAUGAGUGAGAGGUGUACAAAGGGCUCAGCGGCACCGGCACCGGCUCGCCCGCAGGUGCACCCUGCCGAGCUGCCGUGAACCCCGCGGUGCUCCUGCCCCUGCCAGCCCAGCUCCGGCUGCUGCAAGUUGGAGCACGGGAUCCUGCUCCUGUUUGGUGCCUCCUGGUUCCCAGGCGCUGGCCUGUGAAGUCUGUGGGCAUGUCUGGCUCUGUUCUGCACUGGGAAGGGCACGGCUGCCCCGCGGCUCCAUGCUGGAGCGGAAUGCAGGUGCUGUCCUUGCUGUGCCGCCCAACCAGAGUUUUCCCCAACCAAAGGUAAAUGAUGACGUCCAGAUUUUGCCAUAAUAAAGCAUUUUUUGUAAUGCUUCAGAUGCCUUCGCUUCAUCACCACACAUGAAAAGCUCCCCAGUGAUGGCUUCAAGCCUGGAAAUAGGGUUUGUGUUUGAGGACUUGCCUGUGCGUUCCUGCAGGGGCUCACCCACGUGCUGCAGCGAGCAGCAGCUCUGCCUUCCCAACCCCAUUUCUUAAAUCAGCUGCUACUUAGGCUUUAAGCAAUGAGCUGACUGUUGCAGAGUAAAGGCUUCUUAUUUAUUGUUUGGCAGACCGUAGGAGUCUGCUAAAAGUCCAGUUGCAAAUGAGAUGUGGGAAGAUGGGGCUCUUUGCAGAAGCCUUCUUCCUGAAAGGAUGAGGCAGGAGCAGGGAGAGGACUCCUGCACCCCAAGGCACUGCCCUGGGAGCCUGAGGGACCACAAUUAACCAAAUUAACUUCAGUAACAUACAGGACUCUGCCACAUCUCCCAGGUCCUGUUACACCACUCACACCCACGUUACCCUCCUGCUUCAUGCACCCAGUAAAUCCUGAAAGAUUUGCUUUCUUUUCCUUCCUUCUUUUCACAUGCCACCUGCCUGGCUACUGCUCUCUAGGGCAUUUUUACCUGUGUAAUGUGUAUUUUUCAGGGACUGCGAAGGCCUGAGGGUGACCAAGAUACUCACACGCUGAAUUUUCCAUCUUGUAAUUAAAAGAAAUCUUCCCAUGAAAUAAUUGAUGAGUGGAAGAGGUGGUGAGGAAACUGCUUCUACAGAACAGCCGCUGCCACUGGCUCCAGGCUCCUGUGAGCUGAAGGGAAGAGUUACAAGUAAGCAACGGGCAAGCAGUUCCGCAUAGGUUUUUUUUUCUUCUUCAACCACUGUGAUCUCUGAGCCCUAACAGACAGAUCUCUCUAAAGCAGCUAUAAUAACUCAUAAAUAUUAAUGGUGGUUAAUCAUGAGGCAGCAAUGGUGCAGAAGCAAUAGUACUCGAUGCGAUUUUGAUGUGCUGGGCUCACAUCCCUGAUGCAGCCAGGACAAGUCUGUUCUUUGUUCUGCACAGGAGACUCUCCUGCUUUCCUGCUCCUUGUCCUUGUCCUUCCUAUAGCUUACAACUGGGUGUGGGAGUGCUUUUAGUAAGGCCAUAAUGUGUGUGAGCAAGAGCAUGAUCAAGAGGAAGUGUGGGCUGUGCAGGAGGAAUGUCCUGGGGACGCUGAUAGGUCAUAGAGUCCCAGACUGGUUUGGGUUGGAAGGGACCUUAAUGCUCAUCCAGUUCCAACCCCCUGCUGUGGGCAGGGACACCUUCCACUAGAGCAGCUUGCUCCAAGCCCCAUCUAACACUGCUGCAUUUUCCUGUGCAAGCCAGUUCUCUGAACCUGAUUCAGGGCACCAGGCAGCAUUUGAUGUGAAUCUGCAGUUAAUUCCAUGUUCUUACUAAAAAUAAUUGAGUAGCCUAAGUUGUGAUCACUGUAAUUGCAUCCUAAUGAAUUUAUGUGUCAACUCAUUACGUGCAACUUUGGUCUGUUCUGUAAAUACCAAAUUGAGUUCAUCGUUCAGCCUCCAGCACCUGAAGCACUCGAUGCUCAUGAUAUGAGAAGGAUGUGGGGCUGUUGCUGGCUGUCCUGCUCCUUGGCAAUGCUCCAGCCCCAGGCUGGACACAGCCACUUCAAGGAACAAACCUAGAAUAGCCAUAUAUACGUGUCUUAAGUACAAACAGCACAAGGUCAUUGCACCUGAGCACUGGGAUGGCUUAGGCUCCUCGCUGUGGACUCGUCCUCUUCCCAAGUGCUCAUACAAAAGGAGGACUCGGUGACAGACCUUGCCAGGGACAGAUCUGGGCUCUGCUGGGCAAACAGCCAGACAUGGGCUCCAGUCCCAGCCCUGUGCUGCCCAGCCUCUGCCACCUACCCUGGCUGCUAACAGCUACUGGCUGCUGGUGCCCUACCAACACGUGGAAAGGGUUCACUGGACAGGCAGAGAACAAGCUACAAACCAGAAAUUAACCCAGAGAACAGAAAUGUCUAAUCUUGUUGACUUCAGUGGAUGUUACAAACAGAUAGUGCUGUUCACUGGACAAGACCAGAACCUGUGCUCCUUGAAGCGAAAAGAAGCUUUGGCAAAAGUUACUGAAAUGAUGCUGUGCUCCCAUAAUGGCUCUUUCCAGAACACUACUUACUGUCACUGUUUUUCAUGUUUGUUCCCAAAACACUGACUACAGCUCCCCUACAAAGCUGUGCAUGUUAGUUAACCUCAUUAAAUCCUAAAGGAUUAGUCAGCUGUUCCUCAACCACAGAACUGUUAGGAAACAUCUAAAGCUCCAAGUUAUGUGGCUUGGAAAGUGAUUUUCUAAUACGGAAACUUCAAAAGGAUUUUGAAAUCCUGCAGUGUAAGGGAGACAGACUAAUGUUAAUCCACUGGAGUGCUGCUUAAUGGCCUGGUUAAUUUUUUUCUUGCUAGGUCUAUAAGCAGCUGAGCAUGAAGGCUGCAUUGUGAUAAGCUGGGGCUAAGCUUCACCUUUGUUCACUGCAUCCCCCUCCUACCACCCUGCUCAUCACACACGGAUGCGUUCUUCCCCAUUGGAUGACAGCACGUGCAGGUACCAGGGACUAUGCUGCUGUGACCUCUCCUCACCCUGUGGCUUGGAGACAUGUAUAGACUCAGACCCACCUGCGGAGGGUCUGGCCCAGGCCCACAGCCCCACCCACAAUGGGGAUCCUCUGCCUGGCCAGGGCCCAUCCCUGUCACGGAGGUGCUGGCUCGUGGUUGGAGCAGGCACGUUCACUUUCACUGAUGAGGUGUGGUACCAGUGCCAAUGAGUGCCCAGGGACCACUGGGAACUGUGAUGGGACAGGCAGUGAUGUCCCUGAGAGAGAGAGAGCACAGAGGGUCCCUGCUGUCUCUCCCUAAAUGUGCUGGGGGAACCACCUACACAUCCCAAGCCCACCCUGAUCCCCUGUACUGGGGCCACUCCUCCCUCUGCCCAUGCACUCUACAGCAUCGAGAACCUGGCAUCAAACGGGGCAUGUGGGACCAUCCUUACUCAAAUAAAUAAUGCUAUUAACUGUGAAGUAAUGGAAGAAUUAAACACACUACAUUUUGAGAGCACAAAGUGUCGAAAUGCACAGAUUAAUUAAACUUCACAGCCCCCGUGUGAGAUGCAAAGGUAAUUGCUCUGUUCACGGUGCAUGUGGGAAAAGCGAGGAAGGGACCUGUUGUGGCAGUAGAGGCUGUGCAGUGUAACAGCAGAAGCACAAGUGUUACUCCAGCCCCGAGAGGCCCAUCUUGCCUCACCUAGGUCUACCAGGGCUGACAGGGAGCUGGAGGAGCUGGGCUGUGUGAUCCCAUGCUUUGCUGAGCCAGGACUGGGAUCCCUGGCUCUGGCCCCAUCCCACUGCUGCAGCCUGCUCUGCCCCUGCAGUACUGGCCAUGCUCUGCUGGGGCACUCAGGUGCAGCACAGUGAAUCCUGGGUUCCCAGCUUGUAAGUGUUGGACAAUAUCAGUGUAAUGGAAGCACCCAGCAGUGCAGUCAGUGUGCCAGGCUGAAUAAUGUAUUUGCUGGUGUGUUAUCAGCUGAGAAACCUGUACAAAUACAUGAGAAGAAGCAAGAGGACAUGAAUGUUUAAUUGGAUGAGGGCAUCCUCCAGGAUACCCACAUCCCUGCUCUUAGUCUGGGCCAGCACGUGUGGAGAGCAGGAGCACUCAGGGGUGUCAGACACACUGGUGCAUGUGCAGCCCUCCCAGUGUCUCUGAAGCACAGCUCUGCAGCCUUGCAGCGCCUGCACUGCCUCAACAGUGUCCUCCUUGUCUUCACACCUUUCAUGAGCCCUUGAGCUGCUUCUGCAUGUCCUUGCUACAUCUUAUUUCAUUCACCUCAAAAUGAAAGGCACCAUGUGAUGCUCUGGAGACCAGAAAUAGACCCUAGCAGCUGGACUUGAUGUUAAAGGUGUUUUCCAACCUAAAUGAUUCUAAAUGAUUUUAUGAUCCCCACAGAUAGUGCGCAAGCCUGCAGGGGCCCUCUACCACCAGGUCUGUCUUUCCUUUCUUAGUGAAACUGGCUUUGAGGGCUGACAUUGAAAAAGGGAGGACUUUGUGCUCUACCACACUGCCCUUCACAGUGAGUUCUUGCUGAGCUGUGGAGGCUGAGAACUGGCAUCUGUAAAAUUGAUCCAUCAGCAAAGAAAGAAAAGUUCCUGCUUUCUGAGAGGGAAAUUAAUUUUGACAUCUUAAUUAUAAUCAGAGGGAAAGUUGGUGCUGGAAUGGUGAGCUUUGAAGUUUAUUAUAUUUUCAUUAUUAAUGACUACAAAAGAAACUAGCUCUAAAUGAUAAUGGUAAAGUGUAAUGGCAUACCUGUGUAACUUCUGUUAUAUCCCAUUUACUCUAAAAGAGUCCUUUGUUAUGAAUUUGAUAACAAAAUCCAGAAGAACU